UACGGGGGGGGCAAGCGUUGUUCGGAAUUACUGGGCGUAAAGGGCUCGUAGGUGGUCAACUAAGUCAUACGUGAAAUCCCUCGGCUUAACCGGGGAACUGCGCCUGAUACUGGUUGACUUGAGUUUGGGAGAGGGACGCGGAAUUCCAGGUGUAGCGGUGAAAUGCGUAGAUAUCUGGAGGAACACCGGUGGCGAAGGCGGCGUCCUGGACCAAUACCGACACUGAGGAGCGAAAGCCAGGGGAGCAAACGGG
rnacentral:rRNA from 1 species